rnacentral:rRNA from 1 species
CCUCUAGCCAUCGACGCGUACGGGUGUUGGGAGACAUAGCCCGGAGAUGGAUUCUGAGACACGAAUCCAGACCCUACGGGGUGCAGCAGGCGCGAAAACUUGGCAAUGCGAGAAAUCGUGACCAGGGAACUCCAAGUGGCUGGGGUAAGACCCAGUCUUUUCUUGACUCUUCAAAGGUCUUGGAAUAAGAGGUGGGUAAGGACGGUGCCAGCCGCCGCGGUAAUACCGGCGCCUCAAGUGGUAGUCGAUUUUAUUGGGCCUAAAACGUCCGUAGCCUGUUUGGUACAUUCGUGGGUAAAUCAACCAGCUCAACUGGUUGAAUUCUGCGAGCACGGCCAGACUUGGGACCGGGAGAGGUGUGGGGUACGCUCAGGGUAGGGGUAAAAUCCUGUCAUCCUGAGCGGACCACCUGUUGCGAAGGCGCCACACUAGAACGGAUCCGACGGUCAGGGACGAAGCCUAGGGGCACGAACCGGAUUAGAUACCCGGGUAGUCCUAGGUGUAAACGCUGUGGACUUGGUGUUGGGGACUCCACGAGUGUCCCCAGUGCCGUAGUGAAGAUGUUAAGUCCACUGCCUGGGGAGUACGGUCGCAAGGCUGAAACUUAAAGGAAUUGGCGGGGGAGCACAGCAACGAGAGGAGCGUGCGGUU